UACGUAGGGCGCAAGCGUUGUCCGGAUUCACUGGGCGUAAAGGGCGCGCAGGCGGGCAAGUAAGUUAGAGGUGAAAUCUCACAGCUCAACUGUGAAACGGCCUUUAAUACUGCUUUUCUUGAGUUAGGGAGAGGUUGAUGGAAUUCCAGGUGUAGCGGUGAAAUGCGUAGAUAUCUGGAGGAACACCGGUGGCGAAGGCGGUCAACUGGCCCUAAACUGACGCUCAGGCACGAAAGCGUGGGGAGCAAACAGG
rnacentral:rRNA from 1 species